rnacentral:lncRNA from 1 species
AAUUUUGGACGCCAAUAGCAUCUAUUUAGCGUCCACAAUAUCCAACACAAGUCUCUUUUUUGCAAUUGAUUUUUUUGUGCAACUUUAAAUCAGAAGAAUGGAAUCUAUCUACUGUUGACGCUAAUUAUUAUUUAAUUUAAUCUAUCUACCCUUCUUCGUUCGUGAUAGCAUUCGAUUACCGUUCUCUGUUCUCGAUCUGUUCAUCGUCGUUCGUAGUUCGUUUGGAUUUCUCUCUCAUCUCACUGCAAAAUCGUCUUUAUUGGUUAGUUUUCAUUCUCAUUGAAAUUACUUGGCACAUGUUAAUUUUGAAAUUGAUUUUGUUUUACCUAAAUCGUUUGGAUUUUUUUCAUUAGCAAGUACUGGCCUUGCAAUUUGCAAAGAGGUUAAUAAUAGUGUGAUUGUAGGGAGGUUUGUUAGUUCUGGAUUGUAUUGUUUGAGAUUGAGUGAGUUAGUGUUAUACAAGUGAUUAGCAGGCUAGGAGGUUUUGCAAUUUUAGUCAAUGUAAAAUGCAUUUCUUCGAUCAUCAUAUGUGUUCUCAAAGUGAUAUCAUAUGGUUUUCUGACAUUCUUCUAUGUUAUUAGACAGUGGAGGAAAUAGAUUUCACAUUCGUCCUGCUCAUUCUUGUUAAGAAAGCAGUUAAUUCAUCUUGAAGUUUGUUUUGUUUGAUCCUAGGUAGUUAGUUGGUUAGUCUAACUACCAAAAGUUGUUAGGAAUUAGUUAGGCCAAAGGUAGUUACUUGUAGCUUAAGUAACAAGUAUAAAUACACCUUAGUGUAUCAAUUGUAAUUCAACUUUUGGCCCAUUAAGGAUGAAUAAAAAUUUCUAUUUUCCCUAAGUCUUUCAUGUUCAGUUUUU